UACGUAGGUGGCAAGCGUUGUCCGGAUUUACUGGGCGUAAAGAGCGCGCAUGCGGUCGUUCAAGUCGGAUGUGAAAGCCCCCGGCUCAACUGGGGAGGGUCAUUCGAUACUGAUCGACUCGAAGGCAGGAGAGGGAAACGGAAUCCCCGGUGUAGUGGUGAAAUGCGUAGAUAUCGGGAGGAACACCAGUGGCGAAGGCGGCUUCCUGGCCUGUUCUUGACGCUGAGGCGCGAAAGCCAGGGGAGCAAACGGG
rnacentral:rRNA from 1 species